UACGUAGGUGGCAAGCGUUGUCCGGAAUUAUUGGGCGUAAAGCGCGCGCAGGCGGUCUUUUUAAGUCUGAUGUGAAAGCCCACGGCUCAACCGUGGAGGGUCAUUGGAAACUGGGGGAACUUGAGUGCAGGAGAGAAGAGUGGAAUUCCACGUGUAGCGGUGAAAUGCGUAGAGAUGUGGAGGAACACCAGUGGCGAAGGCGACUCUUUGGCCUGUAACUGACACUGAGGCGCGAAAAGCGUGGGGGAGCAAACAGG
rnacentral:rRNA from 1 species